GACGAACGCUGGCGGCGUGCUUAACACAUGCAAGUCGAACGGAAAGGCCCUGCUUUUGUGGGGUGCUCGAGUGGCGAACGGGUGAGUAACACGUGAGUAACCUGCCCUUGACUUUGGGAUAACUUCAGGAAACUGGGGCUAAUACCGGAUAGGAGCUCCUGCUGCAUGGUGGGGGUUGGAAAGUUUCGGCGGUUGGGGAUGGACUCGCGGCUUAUCAGCUUGUUGGUGGGGUAGUGGCUUACCAAGGCUUUGACGGGUAGCCGGCCUGAGAGGGUGACCGGCCACAUUGGGACUGAGAUACGGCCCAGACUCCAACGGGAGGCAGCAGUGGGGAAUAUUGCACAAUGGGCGGAAGCCGGAUGCAGCAACGCCGCGUGCGGGAUGACGGCCUUCGGGUUGUAAACCGCUUUCGCCUGUGACGAAGCGUGAGUGACGGUAAUGGGGAAAGAAGCACCGGCUAACUACGU
rnacentral:rRNA from 1 species